GACCAUAUAGCUAAAUUGGUAGAGUGUCCGUCUAAAAUUUCGGAGGGUCCCGGGUUCGAACCCCGGUCUGGCCG
rnacentral:tRNA from 1 species